UUUCCGGUUGAUCCUGCCGGAGGUCACUGCUAUCCAAAUUCGACUAAGCCAUGCAAGUCUAACCGAAAGGUUGGCAUAAAGCUCAGUAACACGUAGAUAAUCUGCCCUUAGGAGGGGUAUACACUCGGGAAACUGAGUUCAAUCCCCCAUAGGCGUUGUAUGCUGGAAUGCUUCAACGCCCAAAGCUUCGGCACCUAAGGAUGAGUCUGCGGCUGAUCAGGUUGUUGGUAAGCUAAAGCCUUAUCAAGCCUAUAAUCAGUACGGGCCUUGAGAGAGGAAGCCCGGAGAUGGAUUCUGAUACAACAAUCCAGGUCCUACGGGACGCAGCAGGCGCGAAACUUUCGCAAUGCACGCAAGUGUGACGAAGGAACUUGGAGUGACUUUUCCGAUUUAGGAAGAGUCUUUUGUCAAGUGUAAAAAGCUUGGCGAAUAAGGGGUGGGUAACACAGGUGCCAGCCGCCGCGGUAAUACCUGGGCCCCGAGUGGUGACCGCUUUUAUUGGGUUUAAAGCGUUCGUAGCCGGCUUGUUAAGUCCCUAAUGAAAUUCGGCAGCUAACUGUCGAGAUUGUCGGGGAUACUGGCAGGCUAGAG
rnacentral:rRNA from 1 species